rnacentral:rRNA from 1 species
GGCUAACGCUGGCGGCGUGUCUUAGCCAUGCAAGUCGAGCGGACUUAUGGGGUAACUUAUAAGUCAGCGGCGGACGGCGGAGUAACACGUAGCUAACCUACCCUCUGGACGGGGAUAACCUACCGAAAGGUGGGCUAAUACCCGAUGUAGUCAUCCUGUAUAGGGGUGAUGAAAGGUGGGCUUCUGUUUACAAGCUCAUGCUGGAGGAGGGGGCUGCGGCCUAUCAGGUAGUUGGUAGGGUAAUAGCCUACCAAGCCGAUGACGGGUAGCCGGCCUGAGAGGGUGACCGGCCCGAGGGGCACUGAGAUACGGGUCCCACUCCUACGGGAGGCAGCAGGCUAGAAAUUUGGGCAAUGGGGGAAACCCUGACCCAGUGACGCCGCGUGCAGGAAGGAGCCCUUCGGGGUGUAAACUGCUGUCGUGUAGGGAGAAGGGUACUAAGGUGAACAAUCUUAGUACUUGACGGUACUACAGGAGGAAGCCCAGGCUAACCUCGUGCCAGCAGCCCGGGUAAGUAGUCGUACGUACGGUAACGUCGUAGGC